GGGAUUGUGGCUCAGUGGUAGAGUUCUUGCCUGGCAGGCAUAAGGCCCUGGGUUCAAUUCCUGGCACCA
rnacentral:tRNA from 1 species